rnacentral:lncRNA from 1 species
UUUGCCAGUAUGAUCAAGUGAGGCCAUUUUAGUAGAGAAGAUGUGCUUUAAUGUGCCUUACACAUUCAAGAAAGCAAAGAUUAUUGUUAAGAGGGAAAGCUAUAAUGAAGAAGGUGAAGGAAAGGGAUUAUUAGCAAAGGAGAUUGAGAAAUGGAAGAAGCAACAUGGCAUGAUUAUAAUACAAGAAGAGCAUGAUGCUUCCAAGCCCAUCAAACCAUCCCAUGAUAAUAAAUGAUCAUCAUCUUUCUCUUCACUUAUAUCUUUUUCAUUUGGUAACUUGUGUAAGUAGAAACUAUGCCUAAUUUGUGAUGUUUGUUUCUUGUUACCCUCUUUUUUGUGGAUUGGUAUGGGGAUAAUGGUGUGGACAAUUUUUUUAUCAUUUGCCUAUUAUAUGUGAUGGUGGUGUAAUGUUGGCAUAGUUGCACAGUGCUUGAGAGCUUUAUGGCAUAUAAAAAUUAUCCAGUCUUUUCCGUGUUUUUAUUUUUUUGUUUUGAGAUCUUUUGUUGGGAUUCAAAACCUUCUUCCUCUCUCUCCGGUUGACUUGCUAGAGUUUUUUUUUCAAAGAUUUUUUGAAGAAUUUUUUGGUGGGAUUGAUCGUCAAGAAUUGGUUGAUUUCGCCAAUAUACAUGUAGCAGACUCGAGAUUAUGUGUUUUGAACACGUUUCCAUUGUUGAUAAUAUCCAAGUGGAUCAAAGGAUAACUCUUGGCCUUUUUAUUUUACGUCGAUUCGUUAUCCAUAUUGAUUUUAUUCCCGAGUUCAACGUGGGAUUAUGAUUUAUGCCAAUUGCCAAGUUGAUCAAAAU